AAUGAACGCUGGCGGCAGGCCUAAAACAUGCAAGUCGAACGCCUUAGCAAUAGGGAGUGGCGCACGGGUGAGUAACAUGUGGGAAUAUGGCCUUUGGUACGGAACCACGCUUGGAAACGAACGCUACUACCGUAUGGUCCCUCCGGGGUAAAGAUUUAUUGCCAAAAGAUUAGCCCGCACAAGAUUAGCUAGUUGGUAAGGUAAUGGCUUACCAAGGCGACGACGUAUAGCUGUUCUGAGAGAACGAUCAGCCAUACUGGGACUGAGACACGGCCCAGACUCCUACGGGAGGCAGCAUUUAGGAAAAUUAGACAAGGAGCGCAAGCCUGAUCCAGCCAUGCCGCGUGAGUGAUGAAGGCCUUCGGGUUGUAAAGCUCUUUAGCCGACGAAUAUAAUGACUGUAGUCGGAGAAUAAGCCCCGGCUAACUUCGUGCCAGCCGCCGCCGUAAAAC
rnacentral:rRNA from 1 species